CCAGAACCAUGGAAUGUCAAUGUACUGAAAAAUGAGUGAUGGGCUUGGUGAUCUUAAAUUUCCUGCAGGUGUGGAUUGAUGUGUCUAUCAUUUCUUAUGGAACUACGUGAUUGUUCUGUGGCACUGGAAAGGACACCUAAAGAAGACUUCCGUGACGUAACAUUUUAUCAGACAGUAACAAGAUAACUGAAAAGCAAACCACUGUCCUUGGCUUAGGAGAAAAGGAAAUGCCCACCCUACUUUACUAAACGAUUUGAUGUGAAUACUAGACAGGAAGUUACCUAUGCAUUGGAGCAUGUGAUGAGACCUGUAAGGAGGAAGCUGAAAGAUGUCGGCAGAUACAUUUCCCACAUUGUUGUGUGGCUGUACCUUGCUGGACCAGUCAACUUGCAAGAGAUCGUGGAUGCUGGGUAACAUAUUCAAGCAUCUGUCGACUGGAUCUGUGUUGUGGCUGGUAUUUGUGAGUUGUUAGCCAAGACUGCUAAAGACAAUGUUAUUCAGCAGAAAUGCAUGGUUUUUCAAGUACAAUACAUUAUGUAACUUUAAAUUGGGAUGUAUUUUUUAUCAUUUGUGAGUGAAUCUUUCAGAUCUUUAUGUACAUAGGUUAGUUGUAUGGACAAUUACCAAAUUGUUUGGAAGACAUUUACAAGU